rnacentral:misc_RNA from 1 species
UCCGGCUUAUCACCGGCAGUCCCUCUAGAGUGCCCAACUGAAUGAUGGCAACUAAAGGCGAGGGUUGCGCUCGUUGCGGGACUUAACCCAACAUCUCACGACACGAGCUGACGACAGCCAUGCAGCACCUGUGUUACGGUUCCCUUUCGGGCACACCUCCAUCUCUGGAGGCUUCCGUACAUGUCAAGGGUAGGUAAGGUUUUUCGCGUUGCAUCGAAUUAAUCCACAUAAUCCACCGCUUGUGCGGGUCCCCGUCAAUUCCUUUGAGUUUUAACCUUGCGGCCGUACUCCCCAGGCGGAGAACUUAACGCGUUAGCUUCGCUACACAACAGGUCUCCCCAUCGCACAGCCAGUUCUCAUCGUUUACAGCGUGGACUAC